rnacentral:rRNA from 2 species
ACUGAUUGAUGGUGCUUGCACCUGAUUGACGAUGGAUCACCAGUGAGUGGCGGACGGGUGAGUAACACGUAGGUAACCUGCCCCGGAGCGGGGGAUAACAUUUGGAAACAGAUGCUAAUACCGCAUAACAACAAAAGCCACAUGGCUUUUGUUUGAAAGAUGGCUUUGGCUAUCACUCUGGGAUGGACCUGCGGUGCAUUAGCUAGUUGGUAAGGUAACGGCUUACCAAGGCGAUGAUGCAUAGCCGAGUUGAGAGACUGAUCGGCCACAAUGGAACUGAGACACGGUCCAUACUCCUACGGGAGGCAGCAGUAGGGAAUCUUCCACAAUGGGCGCAAG